CGCGUGAGCAAUCUGCCUUUGGAUGGGGGAUAACAGCCGGAAACGACUGCUAAUACCGCAUAAUGCAGCAGGACCGCAUGAUUUUGCUGCCAAAGAUUUAUCGUCCAAAGAUGAGCUCGCGUCUGAUUAGCCAGUUGGCGGGGUAACGGCCCACCAAAGCGACGAUCAGUAGCCGGACUGAGAGGUUGAACGGCCACAUUGGGACUGAGACACGGCCCAGACUCCUACGGGAGGCAGCAG
rnacentral:rRNA from 1 species